rnacentral:rRNA from 1 species
AACGAACGCUGGCGGCAUGCCUAACACAUGCAAGUCGAACGAGACCUUCGGGUCUAGUGGCGCACGGGUGCGUAACGCGUGGGAACCUGCCCUUAGGUUCGGAAUAACUCCUCGAAAGGGGUGCUAAUACCGGAUAAUGUCUUCGGACCAAAGAUUUAUCGCCUUUGGAUGGGCCCGCGUUGGAUUAGCUAGUUGGUAGGGUAAAAGCCUACCAAGGCGACGAUCCAUAGCUGGUCUGAGAGGAUGAUCAGCCACACUGGGACUGAGACACGGCCCAGCCUCCUACGGGAUGCAGCAGUGGGGAAUAUUGGACAAUGGGCGAAAGCCUGAUCCAGCAAUGCCGCGUGAGUGAUGAAGGCCUUAGGGUUGUAAAGCUCUUUUACCCGCGAUGAUAAUGACAGUACCGGGAGAAUAAGCACCGGCUAACUCCGUG